rnacentral:Y_RNA from 1 species
GACUGGUCCAAGUGCAGUGGUGUUUAAUUGAUUGCAAUCAGUUACAGAUUUCUUUGUUCCUUCUCUACUCCUACUGUUCCACUUGACUAGCCUUAA